AGCGAACGCUGGCGGCAGGCUUAACACAUGCAAGUCGAGCGGACGUAGCAAUACGUUAGCGGCAGACGGGUGAGUAACACGUGGGAACGUGCCCUUUGGUUCGGGAUAACCCAGGGAAACCUGGGCUAAUACCGGAUAAGCCCUUACGGGGAAAGAUUUAUCGCCAAAGGAUCGGCCCGCGUCUGAUUAGCUAGUUGGUGGGGUAAUGGCCCACCAAGGCUACGAUCAGUAGCUGGUCUGAGAGGAUGAUCAGCCACACUGGGACUGAGAUACGGCCCAGACUCCUACGGGAGGCAGCAGUGGGGAAUAUUGGACAAUGGGCGAAAGCCUGAUCCAGCCAUGCCGCGUGAGUGAUGAAGGCCUUAGGGUUGUAAAGCUCUUUCGGCGGGGAAGAUAAUGACGGUACCCGCAUAAG
rnacentral:rRNA from 1 species